rnacentral:rRNA from 1 species
GACGAACGCUGGCGGCGUGCCUAAUACAUGCAAGUUGAGCGCUGAAGGUUGGUACUUGUACCCACUGGAUGAGCAGCGAACGGGUGAGUAACGCGUGGGGAAUCUGCCUUUGAGCGGGGGACAACAUUUGGAAACGAAUGCUAAUACCGCAUAAAAACUUUAAACACAAGUUUUAAGUUUGAAAGAUGCAAUUGCAUCACUCAAAGAUGAUCCCGCGUUGUAUUAGCUAGUUGGUGAGGUAAAGGCUCACCAAGGCGAUGAUACAUAGCCGACCUGAGAGGGUGAUCGGCCACAUUGGGACUGGGACACGGCCCAAACUCCUACGGGAGGCAGCAGUAGGGAAUCUUCGGCAAUGGACGAAAGUCUGACCGAGCAACGCCGCGUGAGUGAAGAAGGUUUUCGGAUCGUAAAACUCUGUUGGUAGAGAAGAACGUGGUGAGAGUGGAAAGCUCAUCAAGUGACGGUAACUACCCAGAAAGGGACGGCUAACUACGUG